rnacentral:rRNA from 1 species
AUUGAACGCUGGCGGCAGGCCUAACACAUGCAAGUCGAACGAGUGGCGGACGGGUGAGUAAUGUCUGGGAAACCGCGUGAUGGAGGGGGAUAACUACGGGAAACGGUAUCUAAUACCGUAUUCCCUUAGACGCGCCCAGAUGGGUUUAGCUUGUGGGUGGGGUAAUGGCUCACCAAGGCGACGCUCCCUAGCUGGUCUGAGAGGAGGACCAGCCACACUGGGACUGAGACACGGUCCAGACUCCUACGGGAGGGAGCAGUGGGGAAUAUUGCACAAUGGGCGCAAGCCUGAUGCAGCCAUGCCGCGUGUAUGAAGAAGGCCUUAGGGUUGUAAAGUACUUUCAGCGGGGAGGCGUUACCCACAGAAGAAGCAACGGCUAACUCCGUGCCAGCAGCCGCGGUAAUUC